UACAGGGGGAGCAAGCGUUGUUCGGAUUUACUGGGCGUAAAGGGCGCGUAGGCGGUCAGCACAAGUCAGUUGUGAAAUCUCCGGGCUUAACUCGGAAAGGUCAACUGAUACUGUGCGACUAGAGUGCAGAAGGGGCAACUGGAAUUCUCGGUGUAGCGGUGAAAUGCGUAGAUAUCGAGAGGAACACCGGCGGCGAAAGCGGCUACCUGGACGAGGACUGACGCUGAGAUGCGAAAGCGUGGGGAGCAAACAGG
rnacentral:rRNA from 1 species